GUGGAUGGGCAUGUUUUCUAGUAGCACGGUUUUACUUGAAAUUUCGUGACUAGAUUACAUGCUCGUCUAUG
rfam:Anopheles funestus strain FTMOZ unplaced genomic scaffold supercont1.106, whole genome shotgun sequence.